GACUUCAUAGCUCAGUUGCUUAGAGCGUCGCACUGGUAUAACGAGUUCAAACCCCGUUGAAGUCC
rnacentral:tRNA from 1 species